rnacentral:rRNA from 1 species
GAAACGACUGCUAAGACUGGAUAGGAGAUAAGAAGGCAUCUUUUUAUUUUUAAAAGACCUAGCAAUAGGUAUGCUUAGGGAAGAGCUUGCGUCACAUUAGUUAGUUGGUGGGGUAAUGGCCUACCAAGACGAUGAUGUGUAGCCGGGCUGAGAGGUCGAACGGCCACAUUGGGACUGAGACACGGCCCAAACUCCUACGGGAGGCAGCAGUAAGGAAUUUUCGGCAAUGGAGGAAACUCUGACCAAGCAAUGCCGCGUGAACGAUGAAGUAUUUCGGUACGUAAAGUUCUUUUAUUAGGGAAGAAAAGAUGGUGGAAAAACCAUUAUGACGGUACCUAAUGAAUAAGCCCCGGCUAACUAUGUGCCAGCAGCCGCGGUAAUACAUAGGGGGCAAGCGUUAUCCGGAAUUAUUGGGCGUAAAGGGUGCGUAGGCGGUUAAAUAAGUUUAUGGUCUAAGUGCAACGCUCAACGUUGUGCUGCUAUAAAAACUGUUUAGCUAGAGUUGGAUAGAGGCAAGUGGAAUUCCGUGUGUAGUGGUAAAAUGCGUAAAUAUACGGAGGAACACCAGAAGCGAAGGCGGCUUGCUGGGUCUUAACUGACGCUGAGGCACGAAAGCGUGGGGAGCAAACAGGAUUAGAUACCCUGGUAGUCCACGCCCUAAACGAUGAGUACUAAACGUUGGAUAAAACCAGUGUUGAAGUUAACACAUUAAGUACUCCGCCUGAGUAGUACGUACGCAAGUAUGAAACUUAAAGGAAUUGACGGGACUCCGCACAAGCGGUGGAUCAUGUUGUUUAAUUCGAAGGUACCCGAAAAACCUCACCAGGUCUUGACAUGCUUUUGCAAAGCUGUAGAAAUACAGUGGAGGUUAUCAAAAGCACAGGUGGUGCAUGGUUGUCGUCAGCUCGUGUCGUGAGAUGUUGGGUUAAGUCCCGCAACGAGCGCAACCCUUGUUGUUAAUUGCCAUCAUUAAGUUGGGGACUUUAGCAAGACUGCCAAUGAUAAAUUGGAGGAAGGUGGGGACGACGUCAAAUCAUCAUGCCCCUUAUGACCUGGGCUACAAACGUGAUACAAUGGCUGUUACAAAGGGUAGCUAAAGCGUAAGCUUCUGGCGAAUCUCAAAAAAGCAGUCUCAGUUCGGAUUGAAGUCUGCAACUCGACUUCAUGAAGUUGGAAUCGCUAGUAAUCGCGAAUCAGCAUGUCGCGGUGAAUACGUUCUCGGGGUUUGUACACACCGCCCGUCA